CAGAGUAGGUAAAAAGCGUCAAGUGUUAAAGGAUGGGAAGUUGCCUUUAGACGAAAGAUGUUUUCUGCGAUUUUUUACCGCAUCCGCUG
rnacentral:ncRNA from 1 species